rnacentral:rRNA from 1 species
AUGCCCCUAAGCUUUACAAGACUCCAGAAAAUUCACUAUCAACCUAUCUUUGACAAGCUCAAGCGGAACACCUCUGGAUGGAUCAAAUUAAUGCUACCCACUGCUGGCAGACUUGCCUUGAUCACCUCGGUUUUAUAUGCUCUGCCUAUCUUUCAGAUUUUGGCCAUUGAGCCCCCUAAGUGGGUGGUAAAAAAGUUUAACAAGGGCUGCAGAGGAUUCCUUUGGGCAAAUAAAGAUGAGGCAACUGGUGGCAAAUGUCUAGUCAAUUGGAAUCAGGUGUGCUUGCCCAAGAAACUUGGGGGGCUCGGAAUCCCUUGUUUAACCCGAAAGAGUGAGGCAAUGAGAUGCAGAUGGCUUUGGCUGUCGUGGAUGGAACCUGAUAGGCCUUGGCACGGCUUACCUCUA